GGUUCAUUUUGUUCUUCUUCAGGAUUAGUUUCUUCUUCAAAAUCAUUCUGUCUUUGUACCUGAUUAUAAUCUAAAAAUCUUAAACUAGUUCUUCCAUGAAUAUCUUUAUAAGUUAAUGCUUCCUGGGGUGCUAUAAUCAUUUCUUGAUUUUCUAAAAAUUUAUCCAUAUCCUAUUCUAAUCCUGCUAAUUGUUCUGAUGAAUAUUCUUUAG
rnacentral:lncRNA from 1 species